rnacentral:rRNA from 1 species
UACGGAGGAUGCAAGCGUUAUCCGGAUUCAUUGGGUUUAAAGGGUACGUAGGUGGCCUGUUAAGUCAGUGGUGAAAGUUUGCCGCUUAGCGGUAAAUUGCCAUUGAUACUGAUGGGCUUGAGUGCAGAUGAGGUAGGCGGAAUGUGUAGUGUAGCGGUGAAAUGCUUAGAUAUUACACAGAACUCCGAUUGCGAAGGCAGCUUACUAAACUGUAACUGACGCUGAGGUACGAAAGCGUGGGGAGCGAACAGG